rnacentral:rRNA from 1 species
UGGGGAAUUUUGGACAAUGGGCGAAAGCCUGAUCCAGCAAUGCCGCGUGUGCGAAGAAGGCCUUCGGGUUGUAAAGCACUUUUGUCCGGAAAGAAAUCCUUGGCUCUAAUACAGUCGGGGGAUGACGGUACCGGAAGAAUAAGCACCGGCUAACUACGUGCCAGCAGCCGCGGUAAUACGUAGGGUGCAAGCGUUAAUCGGAAUUACUGGGCGUAAAGCGUGCGCAGGCGGUUUGCUAAGACCGAUGUGAAAUCCCCGGGCUCAACCUGGGAACUGCAUUGGUGACUGGCAGGCUAGAGUAUGGCAGAGGGGGGUAGAAUUCCACGUGUAGCAGUGAAAUGCGUAGAGAUGUGGAGGAAUACCGAUGGCGAAGGCAGCCCCCUGGGCCAAUACUGACGCUCAUGCACGAAAGCGUGGGGAGCAAACAGGAUUAGAUACCCUGGUAGUCCACGCCCUAAACGAUGUCAACUAGUUGUUGGGGAUUCAUUUCCUAGUAACGUAGCUAACGCGUGAAGUUGACCGCCUGGGGAGUACGGUCGCAAGAUUAAAACUUAAAUGAAUUGACGGGGUCAUA